UGGGGGAUUUGGUGAUCCUAUGCUGCCGAGAAAAGCAUCGGCGUGAGGUUUUAGCUGCCCGUACCCGAAACCGACACAGGUGAUCAGGUAGAGAAUACUAAGGCGAUCGAGAGAAUCAUGGUUAAGGAACUCGGCAAAAUGCCCCCGUAACUUCGGGAGAAGGGGGGCCCUGAGCGUGAUCUGCCCGUGCGGUGGGGAGCGUGUAGGGGUCGCAGAGACCAGGGGGAAGCGACUGUUUAUCAAAAACACAGGUCCGUGCGAAGUCGUAAGACGAGGUAUACGGACUGACUCCUGCCCGGUGCUGGAAGGUUAAGAGGAUUGGUUAGCCCUGUGUGGGCGAAGCUGAGAAUUUAAGCCCCAGUAAACGGCGGUGGUAACUAUAACCAUCCUAAGGUAGCGAAAUUCCUUGUCGGGUAAGUUCCGACCUGCACGAAUGGCGUAACGACUUCUCCGCUGUCUCGACCACGAACUCGGUGAAAUUGCAGUACGAGUAAAGAUGCUCGUUUCGCGCAGCAGGACGGAAAGACCCCGUGACCUUUACUAUAGUUUGGUAUUGGUGUUUGGGUUGGCUUGUGUAGGAUAGGUGGGAGACUGUGAAGCCGUCACGCUAGUGGUGGUGGAGUCGUUGUUGAAAUACCACUCUGGUCAAUCUGGAUGUCUAACUUCGGGCCAUGAUCUGGUUCAGGGACAGUGCCUGAUGGGUAGUUUAACUGGGGCGGUUGCCUCCUAAAGUGUAACGGAGGCGCCCAAAGGUUCCCUCAGCCUGGUUGGCAAUCAGGUGUUGAGUGUAAGUGCACAAGGGAGCUUGACUGUGAGAGUGGCGACUCGAGCAGGGACGAAAGUCGGGACUAGUGAUCCGGCAGUGGCUUGUGGAAGCGCUGUCGCUCAACGGAUAAAAGGUACCUCGGGGAUAACAGGCUGAUCUUGCCCAAGAGUCCAUAUCGACGGCAUGGUUUGGCACCUCGAUGUCGGCUCGUCGCAUCCUGGGGCUGGAGUCGGUCCCAAGGGUUGGGCUGUUCGCCCAUUAAAGCGGUACGCGAGCUGGGUU
rnacentral:rRNA from 1 species